CCCAUCACUUAAUCCGAUUGGAAGGUGAUGAAAAGCAACCGCACUUAAACAAUGGUAAGAGGAGCGAAGCGAGUCAAACCACCCAAAAGAAGCAGUGGGAUUAAGUGAUGGG
rnacentral:misc_RNA from 2 species